GAUGAACGCUGGCGGCGUGCCUAAUACAUGCAAGUCGAGCGAACAGACUAGGAGCUUGCUCCUCUGACGUUAGCGGCGGACGGGUGAGUAACACGUGGAUAACCUACCUAUAAGAAUGGGACAACUUCGGGAAACCGGAGCUAAAACCGGAUAAUAUAUUGAACCGCAGGGUUCAAGAGUGAAAGACGGUUCUGCUGUCACGUAUAGAUGGAUCCGCGCCGCAUUAGCUGGUUGGGAAGGUAACGGCUUACCAAGGCGACGAUGCGUAGCCGCCCUGAGAGGGUGAUCGGCCACACUGGCACUGGGCCAACCUCCAGACCCCUACGGGAGGCAACAGUAGGGAACCUUCCGCCAUGGGCGAAAGCCUGACAGAGCCCCGCCGCGUGAGUGAUGAAGGUCUUCGGAUCGCAACACUCUCUUAUUAGGGAAGACCAAAUGUGUAAGUACCUAUGCCCGUCUUGACGGUCCCUAAUCAGAAAGCCACGGCUAACUACGUG
rnacentral:rRNA from 1 species